GACGAACGCUGGCGGCGUGCUUAACACAUGCAAGUCGAACGGAAAGGCCCUGCUUUUGUGGGGUGCUCGGGUGGCGAACGGGUGAGUAACACGUGAGUAACCUGCCCUUGACUUUGGGAUAACUUCAGGAAACUGGGGCUAAUACCGGAUAGGAGCUCCUGCUGCAUGGUGGGGGUUGGAAAGUUUCGGCGGGUGGGGAUGGACUCGCGGCUUAUCCGCUUGUUGGUGGGGUAGUGGCUUACCAAGGCUUAGAGGGGUAGCCGGCCUGAGAGGGUAACCGGCCACAUUGGGACUGAGAUACGGCCCAGACUCCUACGGGAGGCAGCAGUGGGGAAUAUUGCACAAUGGGCGGAAGCCUGAUGCAGCAACGCCGCGUGCGGGAUGACGGCAUUCGGGUUGUAAACCGCUUUCGCCUGUGACGAAGCGUGAGUGACGGUAAUGUGUAAAGAAGCACCGGCUAACUACGUG
rnacentral:rRNA from 1 species